rnacentral:rRNA from 1 species
GAACGGGUGAGUAACACGUGGGAAACCUACCUCUUAGCAGGGGAUAACAUUUGGAAACAGAUGCUAAUACCGUAUAACAAUGACAACCGCAUGGUUGUUAUUUAAAAGAUGGUUCUGCUAUCACUAAGAGAUGGUCCCGCGGUGCAUUAGCUAGUUGGUAAGGUAAUGGCUUACCAAGGCGAUGAUGCAUAGCCGAGUUGAGAGACUGAUCGGCCACAAUGGGACUGAGACACGGCCCAUACUCCUACGGGAGGCAGCAGUAGGGAAUCUUCCACAAUGGGCGAAAGCCUGAUGGAGCAACGCCGCGUGUGUGAUGAAGGGUUUCGGCUCGUAAAACACUGUUGUAAGAGAAGAAUGACAUUGAGAGUAACUGUUCAAUGUGUGACGGUAUCUUACCAGAAAGGAACGGCUAAAUACGUGCCAGCAGCCGCGGUAAUACGUAUGUUCCAAGCGUUAUCCGGAUUUAUUGGGCGUAAAGCGAGCGCAGACGGUUAUUUAAGUCUGAAGUGAAAGCCCUCAGCUCAACUGAGGAAUUGCUUUGGAAACUGGAUGACUUGAGUGCAGUAGAGGAAAGUGGAACUCCAUGUGUAGCGGUGAAAUGCGUAGAUAUAUGGAAGAACACCAGUGGCGAAGCGGCUUUCUGGACUGUAACUGACGUUGAGGCUCGAAAGUGUGGGUAGCAACAGGAUUAGAUACCCUGGUAGUCCACACCGUAACGAUGAGUGCUANUGUUUGANGGUUUCNCCCUANUGCCGCAG